GUCUGGCUGACCCAGGGACAUGGCUGUCUUCUUCCUCGUCUUCCUUCCCGUGCUGGGGCUCCCUUGGGGUGUCCUGUCCCAGGUGCAGCUGCAGGAGUCGGGCUCCACGGUGGUGCAGCCCUCGCAGACCCUGUCCCUCACCUGUGCCAUCUCUGGGGACAGUGUCUCUAGCAACACUGCCACUUGGGACUGGAUCAGGCAGCCCCCAGGGGAAGGGCUCCAGUGACUGGGAAGGAUCUACUUCAAUUCCAAGUGGUACAGACGGUACGAGCCAUCUCUCCAAAGUCGGUUAGUCAUCGACCUAGACUCGUCCAAGAACCAGUUCCCCCUGCAACUGAGGUCCGUGACCACCGAGGACACAGCCGUG